AUGGAGAGACUUGUUAAUGUUCAUUACAUUGACAAGGAGGCAUUCUUGAGUAACAAUGCCGACACGGGUGAGGAACCAUUGGUUUUUGAUACAAGCCCUAGCUAUGAGGAUGUUGUUGCAAAAGUGAGACAAGUUUUGAAGUGGAUGGACACCAAUGUUGAUGUUAAGUUAAUAGGAAGGUAUGAUGUUGGAGUUGGAGCCAAAUCUCGCUUGAAAAGUAUGCCUAUCACCUCGGAUUUGCAUUGGGAUGUAUACAAGGAAAAAGUAUCCCAAUCGGAAGACAAGUCACUUGAAUUGUUUGCCACCAAGGUUGAAUCUCCUCGGUUUACCUUUGAUUUGAACCGGCAUGUCUCUUCCCCAAUGGAUGACAUGAGCGAGAGGACAAUGGUGCCACUUGUUGAGCAUAGGGUUGUGGUUGAUGCCCCCAAUGUUUAUCCCCCACCACAUCCCCGUGUACCAUCUAUUAAAGCAAAUGAGGUUGAGUUGUAUGCCCCCAAUGCUUCUAGCCAACCACCAACUAGCCAAGCAAAUGAAGUUGAGGUGAUUGCCCGUGGGUUUGCCAUGAGGGGGUUCUUGAAAUCGGGCCGUCCAACCGGGAUCCGCUCCCACAUCCACACGGAUAGACUCCAAACAAACCCAGACAAUGAGGAUGUAUCUCCCUUCCCCCGACACGCCAAGUCAAGCUGCAAUCAAACAAACAUGUUAGAUAUGGAGGCGCAUGACAAAUGCCAGAAAAAUGGUUGCAAAUAUCUCUUACCUGGCGAUACAAAUAUGCUAGUGCGGCCAAACCCCAGCUAUACUGGGUAUCCCAGUUAUUGA
rnacentral:rRNA from 1 species